rnacentral:rRNA from 1 species
UACAGAGGUCCCAAGCAUUGUUCGGAUUCAUUGGGCGUAAAGGGUUCGUAGGCGGUGCGGCAAGUUGGAAGUGAAAUCUCUGGGCUUAACCCAGAGGCUGCUUUCAAAACUGCUGUGCUUGAGUGUGAGAGAGGCUCGUGGAAUUGCAGGUGUAGCGGUGAAAUGCGUAGAUAUCUGCAGGAACACCCGUGGCGAAAGCGGCGAGCUGGAUCACUACUGACGCUGAGGAACGAAAGCUAGGGGAGCAAACAGG